UGAAAAUAAAGUUGUCAAGCCUUUGAGGUGGCUGUGAAGAUUAAUUCUUCCUGGGCAAAUUGGGUAGACCACCAUACCUGGGCCCAGGCUCUUCUUAAAUCAUAUUUUGGAGCCACCAACCAUGAUGAGCCGAGUUCAAUCCCUGGGACCCACAUGGUAAAAGGAUGGAAUGAACUCCUGUGGAUUAUUCCUUGACCUCCAUGUACUUACAGGGUUCUUACACCCACCCUACAUACAGGGAAUCGCUCCCAAGCACUACAACUGGCUAAGUGGCUUGUCUGAAGGACAGGUCCUAACAUGUACUAGCUGGUCCUGCCUCCCAUUGCCUCUGGAUGUGCUGCCGCAUUUGGUAUGGCAGAGCAGGGCUUGUUCUCAAUGAUGGAAAGUUCACAACUAUUGAAUGGAAGCAGAAAUUCCAUACUCUACAGGAAGACAUGAAAUGCUUGACAAACAAUGGACACAUAGUAACUUUAUAAUAUUCCCAAAAUCUUUUUUUUUCAAAAAUUAUUGAAUAUUUCAAACAAAAUAUGGAAAGUAUUCUGGAAUGUAUACAUAAUAAAACCUCAGACAAAUGGAAGUGAAAUAAAGAUGGAAGAAAGGAACACUCUUGUAACAUUUAAAUACCCGAUAUAAAAGGAUUUACUAUUAAUUUCUGGUGUAUUAUGAUACAUUGUGAAUAUACAAUGUAAUCCAAAAAUAACCCCUAAUGAAGGCAGCAAAAUAGAAA